rnacentral:sRNA from 1 species
GGCCGCGGGCCGGACGUCGAUCGGUUAUCUGGCGACUUCAAGGUUCGACUCCUUGGUGUCGACAGCGCUGCGCUGUCGGCAACCGGUUGGCACCUCACACGCUCGCGGCCCCUG